rnacentral:lncRNA from 1 species
AUUUGUAAAGUUGUAAAAUUACAGUCCUUUUCGCAAUCUUUCCCAGUGACAAUGUAUCCAUGUGAUCUUAGUUACUCCUCUUCUAAACCACUUUUACUGUCCUAGGUUCUGUUUACUUUCCAAAUGCUAAGCAUGGUUUUACCCUGAAUCCUUAGAAUUUGUGCAUUUUAGAAUUUUUUUAAAUAGUAAGAGAGACUAAAUGAUAGACCUUCCAUUUUAGAGUACCCCCAUAAAACCGAAGUCAGAUAAACAUAGUCACGGCUACAGCUGGGGAUGAGUUUUAAAACUGGUUAUUUUCUAAAUGCCAACACCAAUACCAGAGAGUAUUCAAUUUAAAGCAGACAAUUUCAUAAAAACCAAGCACAGAAUUAUUUCAUGUUCCUGCUUCCUAGAGAGUUUUCCCUAUAAUAAAAAAGGGCAUGUUUGCUCAUAUAAUUUUGAAAAUUCCUGUGGAAAUGGUGCGUUAGACAUCUCUAACCAAAGAGAAUGAUGCCUCUUGUGCACAUUUUAAAUUCCCAUCUAUCUCUGUUAGGCAAAGACAAACAGUGACUACUCAGUGUAAUAAUGAAAAGGUGUAAAUCCUGCUACAUGGGGGAAAACUAGAACCGCCCCUGAUUUAGGCUCCUAGACUAUAACCAGACUAUAUUUAUCAUCUUGAUUGCUCUUUUAUCUCUGCAUAUAUUCAGAAAAUGGAGUAACAAGAACAGAAAUGGAGAAGAUCCAGUAACUUCUGCUCUUAUUUUAGAUAGUAGUGUUUGCCUUUUAAAAAUCUAUUGGAAAUACAUGUUCACAUUGAAACAAUGACAUCUGCAUUAUCUAUACUUUACUCUUUCAAAUACUAAAGCAAAUGGUUUUGACUUACAGCACUCACACAACUUCAGUUAAAAUUAUGGAGCUGAAAUCUAUUUUGCAAUGCCUCAACCUUCCCUUGGUCAGCCAGGAAAAAGAAAAUAAAAGCAAAAGAAGAAAACAUUUUAGAGUUUAGAAGAACAAUUAUUCUAACAAGUCUGAAAAACAGUAAUAGUAUUUCCACAACAUGCCAAUGUGACCUAUGUUCACAUACAUAAUUCCUAACUACUAAAUGUACAAUUUUUAAAUAUAUGUGUGACCAUCAUUGCAUUUAUAACAUAUUGAUUUAUAUUAUGAACAGAUUUAAUUGUUAUAAGUAAAUCUGCUUGUAUAUUUUAGUCUAUUAUUAUUAUUACUUUUUUGAGUUCUUACCAUAUGCCAAGUGUAUAGUGUCUGAAAGGAGUAUACCUAGAGGUAAGCACUCAGGCACCAUCCCCACCUUGACACUUACAGCUCAGUGGAGGCUUCACAGAUACUGCAAUUUUUAGUAUUGGCUGAAUGGGGUAAAAAUUGGCAUCUUUCAUGAUCUUUUCUAAUGAAUUUAGAUAUUUAAGGACAGGGCAGAAUUAGAGUCAUUCUUUCCUACACUUAAAACACAGUGAAUUGUCAAAGAUUGGGAAUAUCUUGCCCCCACCCAAGCAAAUUGCAUCAGAUAAUUAUUCCACGUUAGAUCAUCUAGUUUCCCAAGGAUGGAGUUGGGGAGGUGAGAUAGAGAGCCUCUGGGGACCAGGGCAGGGGUCAAGCUGUCCCACUGGGGAAGCCUCUGCCCCAGUGGGGCAGCAGCCAUGCAAGCGCUCAGUGGUGGUAUGAUCCAAGCCAGGGUAUGGCUCCCUGUAGGAUUCUCUAGAGAAAGGAGAGAACUGCAGCAAAGGAGACCAGGGAACAAUGAGAACAUCUCUCCAUUGCCUGUUUUUAUUUUUGUUCCCAGGAAGCUACGUCCCAACCUCAUGUCCCAAAAGAGAACCCAGAACUGAGAGUGUUUACCAUUAAUGUUCCUUGAUUAUGUAAAUAAGUGAAUUUAGUAUAUAGAAAAUUAACAUAUUUCAGGAACACUAUUAUUUCUUGAUCUUAAUUGUGAAGACCAGAUGCCAGAUUUUUUUAAAUCAUAAAUUUGGCAGCCAUUGUUACUUUUAGACAUUUCAGAGUCUAGGCACAGAAUUCAAGUCUUACAUUUUGAACAAAUAUAGCAACAUCUAUUUUCUGUAUGGAAAAGCAAAACUGAAUACCAGACUUGUUUUUAACCACAGAAGCCAACACGUCUUUCUAAAUUCUUUGCGUGGUCAUCUUCCCUAGAUGUGUCUUUCGGCUUAUACCAAUUGCUUCUUUAUCCAAGUAAUAUUAGCUAUUGAUAAAUUACGUUAGAAUCCUAUUGAAUCGGAAUAAUAGUGAAUAAGAGAUUGGGAAUAUCUCACUGUGAUCAGAAGUGGAGUUUUUGUUGUUUUGUUUUGUUUUUAAUCAAGGGAUCAUACAAAAGGAAAUGCACAUUAAGUCAAACCUGUUCGUGAUUUGGUGAAAUUAAAACCAUAGGAGGAGUUCCCGUCGUGGCGCAGUGGUUAACGAAUCCGACUAGGAACCAUGAGGUUGAGGGUUCGGUCCCUGCCCUUGCUCAGUGGGUUAACUUUCCGGCGUUGCCGUGAGCUGUGGUGUAGGUUGCAGACGCGGCUCGGAUCCUGCGUUGCUGUGGCUCUGGCGUAGGCCGGUGGCUACAGCUCCGAUUCAACCCCUAGCCUGGGAACCUCCAUAUGCCGCGGGAGCGGCCCAAGAAAUAGCAACAACAACAACAACAACAACAACAACAAAAGACAAAAAAAAAAAAAAACCAUAGGAAGAGUCCAGUUAUUAAGGAAGGAAAGGAGGGUUGGCAGAAGUAAGGGAACAAACCUCAUGUAACUGAGAAGUAUUUUUCAUGAAUGGUGUAUCUCAAAAGGUCUGCUCUUGUUCCCUGAUGAUUUUGAAACAGUGAUUUUGCAUAUGCUUUUAUCACACCUAUUUCAACAUUAAGAAAAAUGUUCUUCAUAUCAGCAUUUUCUUGCUAUUUUAAAUUCAUGUUAUUUUUUUAUUAGAAAAGAAGCAGGAUCCAUAAUAUAUUAGACAAUGCUUUCUUUUAUGGAUUUUCCAAUUAUAUUUAAUAAUUAAAUCAUAGGUCAAAAGGACUGCUCAAAUCAAUCAGGCUAGAUUUCUAGUAAGUUGGUGCCUGAAAAUUACCUAUAAAAGACAACAAAAACUUGGUAAAAUCUCAUUACGCUUGGUACUCUUUAGAGGUUUUUAUACCUACCAGUCUAUAUUUGUCUCUAAGAGACAUUUGAAACAAAGUUAAAAUGUCAAUUUGUUGUGGAGUUCAGGGCAUAUGGCAGUACUGGCACGGUCACUCAAGAUGCAUGUUGUGUCAUUCAGGUCCCUUGGAUGUGUGCUAGGGGUAGAUUUAGCCUUGUAGAGACUAAUGUGUUCAUUUAAUCACUGAUUCUGUGUUGUUGUAUAUAAAAUGAACAGCUAAAAAUUCACCCUUGAUGACAAGAUUAAAGCAAAAAUUAACACAUUAAAGUUACUGGACUU